rnacentral:tRNA from 1 species
UCCCCGGUAGCUCAGCGGUAGAGCGGGUGGCUGUUAACCACUAGGUCGCAGGUUCGAAUCCUGCCCGGGGAG